rnacentral:rRNA from 1 species
CGCUAUCAGCUAAAUGAUAGGAGGGGAACGGCACGCCUCUCUCCAUCUGAGUUAGGAUAGUUUAGAUCAGGCCUUCUGGCCCGAAAAAUGAUCUAUCUGAUAUAGGAAAGCCAGAGAAACUCUGUUGAGCUCGCAGCGUUCGAUGUGCAAAUCGAUCGUCAAAUUGGCAUAGGGCGAAAGACUAAUCGAACUAUCUAGUAGCUUGUUACUCUUACCCUGCCUGAACUUAAGCAUAUCAAUAAGCGGAGAAAAGAAACCAACAGGGAUUGCCCUAGUAACGGCGAGUGAAGCGGCAACAGCUCAAAUUUGAAAUCUGGCUCUUUCAGAGUCCGAGUUGUAAUUUGCAGAGGGCGCUUUGGGCUUUGGCAGCGGUCCAAGUUCCUUGGAACAGGACGUCACAGAGGGUGAGAAUCCCGUACGUGGUCGCUAGCUAUUGCCGUGUAAAGCCCCUUCGACGAGUCGAGUUGUUUGGGAAUGCAGCUCUAAAUGGGAGGUAAAUUUCUUCUAAAGCUAAAUAUUGGCCAGAGACCGAUAGCGCACAAGUAGAGUGAUCGAAAGAUGAAAAGCACUUUGGAAAGAGAGUCAAACAGCACGUGAAAUUGUUGAAAGGGAAGCGCUUGCAGCCAGACUUGCUUGCAGUUGCUCAUCCGGGCUUUUGCCCGGUGCACUCUUCUGCAGGCAGGCCAGCAUCAGUUUGGGCGGUGGGAUAAAGGUCUCUGUCACGUACCUCUCUUCGGGGAGGACUUAUAGGGGAGGCGACAUACCACCAGCCUGGACUGAGGUCCGCGCAUCUGCUAGGAUGCUGGCGUAAUGGCUGUAAGCGGCCCGUCUUGAAACACGGACCAAGGAGUCUAACAUCUAUGCGAGUGUUUGGGUGUCAAGCCCGAGCGCGUAAUGAAAGUGAACGGAGGUGGGAACCCGCAAGGGCGCACCAUCGACCGAUCCUGAAGUUUACGGAAGGAUUUGAGUAAGAGCAUGGCUGUUGGGACCCGAAAGAUGGUGAACUAUGCUUGAAUAGGGUGAAGCCAGAGGAAACUCUGGUGGAGGCUCGCAGCGGUUCUGACGUGCAAAUCGAUCGUCAAAUUUGGGCAUAGGGGCG